CUGCAUGUUUCUGACGAACAUGUUUUCCUUAACCAAAAAGGAUCAUUUUUUUCAGAAACAUUGUGGAUCUGUUGAAAUUGAGCAGCGGCCAGACAACCGUAGAGAUGGAAUCCACAGAUGUUGAGUUUUAUUAUCUCUCCAUUCUACUAAUUCCAUCUCAUAUUU
rfam:Medicago truncatula strain A17 chromosome 3, whole genome shotgun sequence.